UACAGAGGGUGCGAGCGUUAAUCGGAAUUACUGGGCGUAAAGCGUGCGUAGACGGUUAUGUAAGUUAGGUGUGAAAGCCCCGGGCUCAACCUGGGAAUUGCAUUUAAGACUGCAUAGCUAGGGUGCGGAAGAGGGAAGCGGAAUUUCCGGUGUAGCGGUGAAAUGCGUAGAUAUCGGGAGGAACACCAGUGGCGAAGGCGGUUGCCUGGGGCUUUGCUGACGCUGAUGCGCGAAAGCGUGGGGAGCGAUCCGG
rnacentral:rRNA from 1 species